CGGUCGACCGGCGCACGGGUGAGUAACGCGUAUCCAACCUGCCCACCACUUGGGGAUAACCUUGCGAAAGUAAGACUAAUACCCAAUGAUAUCUCUAGAAGACAUCUGAAAGGGAUUAAAGAUUUAUCGGUGAUGGAUGGGGAUGCGUCUGAUUAGCUUGUUGGCGGGGUAACGGCCCACCAAGGCAACGAUCAGUAGGGGUUCUGAGAGGAAGGUCCCCCACAUUGGAACUGAGACACGGUCCAA
rnacentral:rRNA from 1 species